rnacentral:rRNA from 1 species
GACGAACGCUGGCGGCGUGCUUAAUACAUGCAAGUUGAGCGCUGAAGGUUGGUACUUGUACCAACUGGAUGAGCAGCGCACGGGUGAGUAACGCGUGGGGAAUCUGCCUUUGAGCGGGGGACAACAUUUGGAAACGAAUGCUAAUACCGCAUAAAAACUUUAAACACAAGUUUUAAGUUUGAAAGAUGCAAUUGCAUCACUCAAAGAUGAUCCCGCGUUGUAUUAGCUAGUUGGUGAGGUAAAGGCUCACCAAGGCGAUGAUACAUAGCCGACCUGAGAGGGUGAUCGGCCACAUUGGGACUGAGACACGGCCCAAACUCCUACGGGAGGCAGCAGUAGGGAAUCUUCGGCAAUGGACGAAAGUCUGACCGAGCAACGCCGCGUGAGUGAAGAAGGUUUUCGGAUCGUAAAACUCUGUUGGUAGAGAAGAACGUUGGUGAGAGUGGAAAGCUCAUCAAGUGACGGUAACUACCCAGAAAGGGACGGCUAACUACGUG